rnacentral:misc_RNA from 1 species
GAUGAAGAACGCAGCGAAAUGCGAUACGUAGUGUGAAUUGCAGAAUUCAGUGAAUCAUCGAAUUUUUGAACGCACAUUGCACCUCUCGGUAUUCCGGGAGGUAUGCCUGUUCGAGCGUCAUUUGUACCCUCAAGCUCUGCUUGGUGUUGGGUGUUUGUUCCGCCUCUGUGUGUGAACUCGCCUCAAAACAAUUGGCAGCCGGCGUACUUGUUUCGGAGCGCAGCACAUUUUGCGAUCCAGAUCAACGUACAGCGGCAUCCAAGAAGCCUUAUUUAACGCUCUUGACCUCGGAUCAGGUAGGGAUACCCGCUGAACUUAAGCAUAUCAAUAAGCGGAGGA